UAUCAGUUUCCCUGGUGGUCUAGUGGUUAGGAUUCGGUACUCUCACCGGCGCGGCCCGGGUUCGAUUCCCGGUC
rnacentral:ncRNA from 10 species